CCACCCCAUAACCCCCCAUAACCCCUUGGCCCCAUAACCUUCCACCCCAUAACAACCCCAUAACCCCUUGGCCCCAUAACCCCUUGGCCCCAACCCCCCCUCCCAUAACCCCUUGGCCCCAUAACCUUCCACCCCAUAACCAUGGGAGCUGUGGGGCCCGGGGGGGUCCUCAUCUUCAUCAUCCUCAUCAUCAGCCCCGGUAAUGGGGUCGGGGGUUCUUAUAGGGUUGGGGGUCCUUAUGGGGUCAGGGGUCCUUUGGGGUCCAUUGGGGUUCUUAUGGGGUUGGGGGUCCUUUAUGGGGUCCAUUGGGGUUCUUAUGGGGUUGGGGGUCCUUUGAGGUCCAUUGGGGUUCUUAUGGGGUCAGGGGUCCUUAUGGGGUCAGAGGUCCUCAUGGGGUGGGAGGUUCUUAUGGGGUUGGGGGUCCUUUAUGGGGUCAGAGGGCCUCAUGGGGUGGGAGGUUCUUAUGGGGUUGGGGGUCCCUUAUGGGACUUGGGGUUCUUAUAGGGUCGGGGGUCGCUGUGGUGGAAGUGAGCCCAUUGGGUCCCUAUGGGGUUGGGGUUCUUUUGGGGAUGGGGUCUUUGUUGGGACCCUAUGGGGUGGGGAGUCCCUAUGGGGUCGGAUCCCAUUGUGGUGGGGGUCCCAUUGGGGUCUCUAUGGGGUCCCUAUGGAGUCGGGGUCUCUAUGGGGGUCCUAUUGCGAUCCCUAUAGGUUGGGGGUCUCUAUGGGGUUCCUAUGAGGUCCCUAUGGAGUCUCUAUGGGGUGGGGGUCCCUAUGGGAUCAGAUCCCAUUGUGUGUGGGGUCCCUAUGGGGUCCCUAUAGCGUCUCCACGGGGUCCCUAUGGGGUGGGAGUCCAUUUCAGGUCCCUAUGGGGUUGGGGUCUCUAUGGGGUGGGUGUCUCUAUGGCCUGGGGGUCUCUAUGGGGUCCCUAUGGGAUGGAGGUCUCUAUGGGGUCUCUAUGGGGUCCCUAUGGGGUGGGGGUCCAUUUCAGCUCCCUAUGAGGUUGGGGUCCCGAUGGGGUUGGGGUCCCUAUGGGAUGGAGGUCUCUAUGGGGUCCCUAUGGGGUGGGGGUCCAUUUCAGCUCCCUAUGGGGUCCCUAUGGGGUGGGGGUCCAUUUCAGCUCCCUAUGGGGUCCCUAUGGGGUUGGGGUCCCUAUGGGGUCCCUAUGGGGUGGGGGUCCCUAUGGGGUCCCUAUGGGGUUCGGCUCCCUAUGGGGUCCCUAUGGGGUUGGGGUCCCUAUGGGGUCCCUAUGGGGUCCCUACGGGGUCCCUAUGGGGUUGGGGUCCCUAUGGGGUCCCUAUGGGGUUCGGGUCCCUAUGGAGUCCCUAUGGGGUUGGGGUCCCUAUGGGGUCCCUAUGGGGUGGGGGUCCAUUUCAGCUCCCUAUGGGGUCCCUAUGGGGUCCCUAUGGGGUUGGGGUCCCUAUGGGGUCCCUAUGGGGUGGGGGUCCAUUUCAGCUCCCUAUGGGGUCCCUAUGGGGUCCCUAUGGGGUUGGGGUCCCUAUGGGGUCCCUAUGGGGUGGGGGUCCCUAUGUGUGUCCCCCGCGGUCCCUAUAGGCUCCCAUUAUACCCCCCUCCCCCUUCCCCCCCCC
ensembl:lncRNA